GGGCUUUAAAAGAGCAAACAUCCAGCAAGCAAGAUAGAUAAGCCAUAGAUCCAGCAAACGAUCACUUCAGCAAUGUGCUCUUUGCAAUUUAAGCAAGGCCUGACCUUCUAGCUCUACUAUGUCUCACAAUAAUUGCUGCUCCAAAAACUACAGCUCUCACUCCCCCUGGGGACUCCUGCCAUGUUCCUGUCACCUCACCCAGUGCUUUCUGCUCCACUAAGCACGCCUGACACCAAUGUGAUCUGAUGCUUUCUUCGAGAAGGAAUGCAAUACAUCGACUUUGAAAGUGCCCCAUAUGUGAUGUCAACUAUUUUUUCAUCCACUACC